GACGAACGCUGGCGGCGUGCCUAAUACAUGCAAGUAGGACGCAGUUGCGAACGGGAGAGUAACGCGUAGGUAACUACCUAUUAGAGGGGGAUAACUAUUGGAAACGAUAGCUAAUACCGCAUACUAGUAGAUGGACCUGCGUUGUAUUAGCUAGUAGGUAGGGUAAUGGCAUACCUAGGCAACGAUACAUAGCCGACUCUGGAGGGUGGUCGGCCACACCGGGACCGGGACCCGGCCCAGACUCCUACCGGAGGCAGCCGUAGGGAAUCUUCGGCCAUGGGGGGAAACCCGACCGAGCAACGCCGCGUGAGUUAAGAAGGUUUUCGGAUCGUAAAGCUCUGUUGUUAAGGAAGCGGUACUUAACCAGAAAGGGACGGCUAACUACGUGCCAGCAGCCGCGGUAAUAC
rnacentral:rRNA from 1 species